AUUCUGUUUAUUGUGUCUGCGAUUCGCCUUAGAGUUUGAUCCUGGCUCAGAACGAACGCUGGCGGCGUGCUUAACACAUGCAAGUCGAGUGCGCGGUGCGGGUAGCAAUACUCGUACUGGCGCACGGCGCACGGGUGCGUAACACGUGGGCAAUCUGCCCUCCGAUGGGGAAUAACUCCGGGAAACCGAAGCUAAUUCCGCAUAACAUUCCCUGGACUCCGGUUCGGGGAUUCAAAGCCGCAAGGCGUCGGAGGAGGAGCCCGCGCCCGAUUAGCUAGUUGGUGAGGUGAUGGCUCACCAAGGCAAUGAUCGGUAGCUGGUCUGAGAGGAUGGCCAGCCACACUGGAACUGAGACACGGUCCAGACUCCUACGGGAGGCAGCAGUGGGGAAUCUUGCGCAAUGGGCGAAAGCCUGACGCACCGACGCCGCGUGGGGGAUGAAGCUUCUCGGAGUGUAAACCCCUUUCGACUGGGACGAAUGCCUCGCAAGAGGAGUGACGGUACCAGUAGAAGAAGCCCCGGCUAACUACGUGCCAGCAGCCGCGGUAAGACGUAGGGGGCCAGCGUUGUCCGGAAUUAUUGGGCGUAAAGCGCGCGCAUGCGGUCAUUUAAGUCUGGUGUUUAAGCCCGGGGCUCAACCCCGGUUCGCAUCGGAAACUGGAUGACUUGAGUGUAUGAGAGGAAAGUGGAAUUCCACGUGUAGCGGUGAAAUGCGUAGAGAUGUGGAGGAACACCAGUGGCGAAGCGACUUUCUGGCCUAUAACUGACUCUGAGCGCGAAGCGUGGCGGAGCAAACAGAUUAGAUACCUCGGUAGUCACGCCGUAACGACGCAUACUAGUGUCGGGCAUUCGAUUUCUCGUGCCGAGUAACACAGUAGUAUGACGCUGGUAGUACGUCGCAGAAUCAAACUCAAAGCAUUGACGGGACCCGCCCAG
rnacentral:rRNA from 1 species